rnacentral:rRNA from 1 species
AUGAACGCUAGCUACAGGCUUAACACAUGCAAGUCGAGGGGCAGCAUGGUCUUAGCUUGCUAAGACUGAUGGCGACCGGCGCACGGGUGAGUAACACGUAUCCAACCUGCCGUCUACUCUUGGACAGCCUUCUGAAAGGAAGAUUAAUACAAGAUGGCAUCAUGAGUCCGCAUGUUCACAUGAUUAAAGGUAUUCCGGUAGACGAUGGGGAUGCGUUCCAUUAGAUAGUAGGCGGGGUAACGGCCCACCUAGUCUUCGAUGGAUAGGGGUUCUGAGAGGAAGGUCCCCCACAUUGGAACUGAGACACGGUCCAAACUCCUACGGGAGGCAGCAGUGAGGAAUAUUGGUCAAUGGGCGAGAGCCUGAACCAGCCAAGUAGCGUGAAGGAUGACUGCCCUAUGGGUUGUAAACUUCUUUUAUAAAGGAAUAAAGUCGGGUAUGCAUACCCGUUUGCAUGUACUUUAUGAAUAAGGAUCGGCUAACUCCGUGCCAGCAGCCGCGGUAAUACGGAGGAUCCGAGCGUUAUCCGGAUUUAUUGGGUUUAAAGGGAGCGUAGAUGGAUGUUUAAGUCAGUUGUGAAAGUUUGCGGCUCAACCGUAAAAUUGCAGUUGAUACUGGAUAUCUUGAGUGCAGUUGAGGCAGGCGGAAUUCGUGGUGUAGCGGUGAAAUGCUUAGAUAUCACGAAGAACUCCGAUUGCGAAGGCAGCCUGCUAAGCUGCAACUGACAUUGAGGCUCGAAAGUGUGGGUAUCAAACAGGAUUAGAUACCCUGGUAGUCCACACGGUAAACGAUGAAUACUCGCUGUUUGCGAUAUACGGCAAGCGGCCAAGCGAAAGCGUUAAGUAUUCCACCUGGGGAGUACGCCGGCAACGGUGAAACUCAAAGGAAUUGACGGGGGCCCGCACAAGCGGAGGAACAUGUGGUUUAAUUCGAUGAUACGCGAGGAACCUUACCCGGGCUUAAAUUGCAGAUGAAUUACGGUGAAAGCCGUAAGCCGCAAGGCAUCUGUGAAGGUGCUGCAUGGUUGUCGUCAGCUCGUGUCGUGAGAUGUUGGGUUAAGUCCCGCAACGAGCGCAACCCCUGUCCUUAGUUGCCAGCAUGUAGAGAUGGGAACUCUAAGGAGACUGCCGUAGAUAAUACGGAGGAAGGUGGGGAUGACGUCAAAUCAGCACGGCCCUUACGUCCGGGGCUACACACGUGUUACAAUGGGGGGUACAGAGGGCCGCUACCACGCGAGUGGAUGCCAAUCCCCAAAACCUCUCUCAGUUCGGACUGGAGUCUGCAACCCGACUCCACGAAGCUGGAUUCGCUAGUAAUCGCGCAUCAGCCACGGCGCGGUGAAUACGUCCCCGGGCCUUGUACACACCGCCCGUCAAGCCAUGGGAGCCGGGGGUACCUGAAGUGCGUAACCGCGAGGAGCGCCCUAGGGUAAAACUGGUGACUGGGGCU